UCGAGAAUUUUUCUCAAUGGGGGAAACCCUGAAGGAGCGACGCCGCGUGGAGGAUGAAGGUCUUCGGGUUGUAAACUCCUGUCAUUUGGGAACAAGUGUCGGUACCUAACUGCUACCGGCUUGAUAGUACCAGAAGAGGAAGGGACGGCUAACUCUGUGCCAGCAGCCGCGGUAAUACAGAGGUCCCAAGCGUUGUUCGGAUUCAUUGGGCGUAAAGGGUGUGUAGGUGGCGCCGUAAGUCGGGUGUGAAAUUUCGGAGCUUAACUCCGAAACUGCAUUCGAUACUGCGGUGCUUGAGGACUGGAGAGGAGACUGGAAUUCAUGGUGUAGCAGUGAAAUGCGUAGAGAUCAUGAGGAAGACCAGUGGCGAAGGCGGGUCUCUGGACAGUUCCUGACACUGAGACACGAAGGCCAGGGGAGCAAACGG
rnacentral:rRNA from 1 species